ensembl:lncRNA CASC15 cancer susceptibility 15
AGAGAUCAGAAGUAGACUUCAGAAUGUACUAUUCAAAAAAGGAUGCAAUGGAGAACAUUUACAGAGGACUGUGGGUAAAGCAAAGUCUUCAAGGGAAGAUAACAAAGGAUGAAACAAUGGUGUUGUGUGACUUCCUAGUGUGAAUCAUGGCAAUACAGUGAAAGACAGUGAUUUACUGCUUUUGAGGGCGUGCAUGUAUAUGAUUAACGGAUGGAAGUGCAGGACUCCAAGAUUUACUUCCUUCCCUUUCCAGCAGAAUUACCUGAGACGAGUAAAAUCUACUGGUGGAGUCACUCCAUUAUUCUUAUCUGUGGAGAUCUAGAUCUUGAUUUGAAAGUUUCUGAGAAAAUCUUCAGCUCAGACUUGAGGGUCAACUUUACCAGCUGAAGGAUCUGCAUUUACUGCUCAACCACAUCUAAUUUGAUGUCCUCUGCAGAUUUAAAAUGUGUGCCUUCUUUUCCGUCACCAAGUCAUCCCUGGGUUACUACUGAACAUCCUUCUCAAUUCCCCCCGACCCAUGGAUGGCUGUUCUCCAUUGUCUGUUUCACCAGAUGUCCUCAAAACAAACAGACAGAAGAAGGAAGUGGCUAAUGGAGCUGUGGAGUCCAAGUGUGACUGCCAAGAGGAAUCCAGCAAAGCCAAAAAGCCCAAGCAUGUAGCCCUGCCCGAAGCACGCCACACGCAUGGAAAACCCAGAGGAAAUGAGUGAGGAUCAAUGGGAAGAAGAGAGCCAGCCAGGUUCGAUGCCUUCUCCAUCCGUCAGUGAGGGUGUGGAGAGCCUGCAGGCGUGUGCCUCCCUCUGUAACUUGCUAUUCCUUGUGUAAUGUCAAGUGGAAGUGUGAAGCACCACAAACUGCUCUGAGCAGAGCCCACUUCCCUUCACCCACGGAGAGCGUGAAGCAGUUACACCAACAUCAAUCAAGGAAAACCCACAGGCUGAGCUCACACGGUUGAAGCAGGAAGUUGAAGAUUUGUCCAGGAGCAGAUAGCUGAAGAGAGAGAGAGAGAAGAGAGAACGGCUUACAGCUCAGGUCCUCUCUCCAUGCUUAGGAACCACUACAAAUGCUACUGCCUUGAGUCUCAUUUUGUUUCCCUCUGGAAACCACAUGUGUACCUUGUUUGCAACAGUAUGGGUAUGGAUGUUUUGGUAGUUCUUACACAUUUAUUUUAAAAUUUAAAGAAGUAGUGCCAUAAAGCUUUAUCAGGAUGUAUUUAAAAUGAAAAUAGUCUCUUGUUAUCUAGCAUGCAACUGAUUCUUUCAAUUUGGUUUGGUUAGUCAGAAUCUUACCAGAAGUCUGUCCAGGUGAUAGGUUAGUUGAGAGCAUCAAGACCAACCAAAAUAAAACAAAAACAAUAGCCUA